rnacentral:lncRNA from 1 species
GUUAGUUUUGCACCUUACUCAGCUGCUAAUCCCUUGACAGCCUAGAACUGCUUUACUCAUCCUCCUUGUACGUGGAACUGACAUAACCUACCAUUGUUCCAGUUUUUAAAAUGCACAGUUGAAAAGCCUUAAGUGUUUAUGGCAAACCUCUGUUUCUGAAAAUGCCACAAGCCUACCGAGCCAGGAACUGUGGAAACAAAGACGCUGAUGUAUGUGCCCAGGUACUCCUGUUGACACCUGCGCCGGGUCCCCGUUAAAAACAAAAAAACCAUCUUUCUAAUCAAAGGUAGGCCAGAGACUCAUUCAAAUUGACCUGCACAAUGGCAGUUGGUGGGCAUCACUACCUGGU